rnacentral:rRNA from 1 species
CGGGGGGGGCAAGCGUUGUUCGGAAUUACUGGGCGUAAAGGGCGCGUAGGCGGUUCGCUAAGUUGGAUGUGAAAACUCUGGGCUCAACCCAGAGCCUGCAUCCAAAACUGGCGGGCUAGAGUUCUGGAGGGGGUAGCGGAAUUCCUGGUGUAGCGGUGAAAUGCGUAGAUAUCAGGAGGAACACCGGUGGCGAAGGCGGCUACCUGGACAGAAACUGACGCUGAGGCGCGAAAGCUAGGGGAGCAAAACAGGAUUAGAUACCCUGGUAGUCCUAGCCCUAAACGAUGGAUACUUGGUGUGACUGGGAUUGAAUCCAGUCGUGCCGAAGCUAACGCAUUAAGUAUCCCGCCUGGGGAGUACGGUCGCAAGGCUG